rnacentral:rRNA from 1 species
GACAGAGGUGCCAAGCGUUAGGCGGAAUCACUGGGCUUAAAGCGUGUGUAGGCGGGUCGUUAAGUACCUUGUGAAAUCCCACGGCUCAACCGUGGAACGGCUGGGUAUACUGGCGAUCUUGAGCCACCUAGGGGCAGUCGGAACAAGUGGUGGAGCGGUGAAAUGCGUAGAUAUCAUUUGGAACGCCAAUGGUGAAAACAGGUAGCUGGGGCUGUGCUGACACUGAGACACGAAAGCCAGGGGAGCAAACGGG